rnacentral:rRNA from 1 species
GACGAACGCUGGCGGCGUGCUUAACACAUGCAAGUCGAACGGAAAGUCCCUGCUUUUGUGGGGUGCUCGAGUGGCGAACGGGUGAGUAACACGUGAGUAACCUGCCCUUGACUUUGGGAUAACUUCAGGAAACUGGGGCUAAUACCGGAUAGGAGCUCCUGCUGCAUGGUGGGGGUUGGAAAGUUUCGGCGGUUGGGGAUGGACUCGCGGCUUAUCAGCUUGUUGGUGGGGUAGUGGCUUACCAAGGCUUUGACUGGUAGCCGGCCUGAGAGGGUGACCGGCCACAUAGGGACUGAGAUACGGCCCAGACUCCUACGGGAGGCAGCAGUGGGGAAUAUUGCACAAUGGGCGGAAGCCUGAUGCAGCAACGCCGCGUGCGGGAUGACGGCCUUCGGGUUGUAAACCGCUUUCGCCUGUGACGAAGCGUGAGUGACGGUAAUGGGUAAAGAAGCACCGGCUAACUACGUG